GACGAACGCUGGCGGCGUGCUUAACACAUGCAAGUCGAACGGAAAGGCCCUGCUUUUGUGGGGUGCUCGAGUGGCGAACGGGUGAGUAACACGUGAGUAACCUGCCCUUGACUUUGGGAUAACUUCAGGAAACUGGGGCUAAUACCGGAUAGGAGCUCCUGCUGCAUGGUGGGGGUUGGAAAGUUUCGGCGGUUGGGGAUGGACUCGCGGCUUAUCAGCUUGUUGGUGGGGUAGUGGCUUACCAAGGCUUUGACGGGUAGCCGGCCUGAGAGGGUGACCGGCCAAAUGGGGACAGAGAUAGGGCCCAGCCUCCUGGGGGGGGCAGCGGGGGGGAGUAGUACACAGGGGGGGGAAGCCUGACGCCGCAGCGCCGCGGGGGGGAUGACGGCCUGCGGGUUGUAAACCGCUUGCGCCUGUGACGAAGGGGGAGGGAGGUGAAUGGAUAAAAAAGCACCGGCAAACUACGCG
rnacentral:rRNA from 1 species